ACUCUGNACCUGGGGAGAGGAGACAAGCAGGGACAAAGGGGGUCUACUGGGAGGAAAUCUCUCUGAAGAGGCUCUUCUUUCAAACACUCCCAUUGUUUUUUCACUGACCAGGUGAGGCGGGGGAGCGAGCCCUGAAGGGUUUUUGCUUCUGGCACCAAGCACGCUCCAUGCAUGACUCACUCUGGGGUCAGUGCCAGGUGGAGAGUUUGAUUGAGGAGGUCCAUCUGUCAAAUGGUAAUGCAGGUGUCCUAAUGCGAGCUCAGGGAAGAUGAAAACCUCCUGUGGCAAAAGGGCAAAAGCUUGAUCUUGAUCUUCAGUACUAAUACAGACCAUAUAAAUGGAACCAGGAGUG
rnacentral:ncRNA from 1 species